GACGAACGCUGGCGGCGUGCUUAACACAUGCAAGUCGAACGGAAAGGCCCUGCUUGCAGGGUACUCGAGUGGCGAACGGGUGAGUAACACGUGGGUGAUCUGCCCUGCACUUCGGGAUAAGCCUGGGAAACUGGGUCUAAUACCGGAUAGGAGCCAUUUUUAGUGUGAUGGUUGGAAAGUUUUUUUCGGUGUAGGAUGAGCUCGCGGCCUAUCAGCUUGUUGGUGGGGUAAUGGCCUACCUAGGCGGCGACGGGUAGCCGGCCUGAGAGGGUGGACGGCCACAUUGGGACUGAGAUACGGCCCAGACUCCUACGGGAGGCAGCAGUGGGGAAUAUUGCACAAUGGGCGCAAGCCUGAUGCAGCGACGCCGCGUGGGGGAUGACGGCCUUCGGGUUGUAAACUCCUUUCGCUAGGGACGAAGCUUUUUGUGACGGUACCUAGAUAAGAAGCACCGGCUAACUACGUG
rnacentral:rRNA from 1 species